GAGUUACUCCAUCCGUCUGGAAAUACUUGUCCUCGAAAUGAUUGUAUCUAGACUUAUUUUAGUUAUAGAUACAUCAAUUUUAUUCAAUUUCUAGGACAAGUAUUUCCGGACGGAGGGAGUACGUU
rfam:Triticum urartu cultivar G1812 contig29245, whole genome shotgun sequence.